ensembl:lncRNA
CUAUCUUCCUGUUUGGAGUAACAGAUGAUGUUGACAGGGCCUGAGAGCUCCCUCUACAGGCCUUCCUGAAUCUUAGUUAAGUCUUCUUAGUCAAUGUUAGAAAUCUUAGCUAAGAUUUCUUUUAUUAAUUUUGACACUUUUACUAGAAAAGGAUGGAAAAAGACAUGGCAACCCAAUCAACAUGGUGGGCACCAUCAGGGCUUAGCUUUGCUGAGCCUCAGCUAUAAAAUGAGAGUUGAACUGGGUCAUCUCUAACCCCUGGGGAUGAUGGAGACACGGCCCACGAGAGAGCCCUGAAGCAGAAGGGAGGAUGAGGGACGGGCAGCAGAGGUCUAAAGUGAAAGAGAGAAUGAUUUCCAAGCUUGAUUCUGGUCCCUGCCUUGUGGAAGAGGUGGUCCCAAGGGGCAGCAACAGAGAAGGCCAGGGGCAGGGGGGAAAGGGAGAAAAGACCUAUUUUUCAAAGUGGGAUCACAUAGGCUGACUUGGAUGAUACUUAAGACAAGACUUAAUAUAGGAGGGGUAGGGGUGGGCAUUUCAGGCAGAGGAAACAAUCAGAAAGGCCCUGCCUAUUUGAGGGAUGGACAGACAUCCGUGUGGCUGGCGCUUUGUGAACCAGUGGGUAGAUGGUGUGUGAUCAGGACAGAGAGAGGGCAGGGGCCCUGGAAAGGAGCCUGAAUGUAUUCAAAGUGCAAAGGGGAAAGCUUUGCAGUGACCUGCUAUCCCUGCGUUUUGGAAAGGGUCCUCUGGACACCGUGUGAAGUACAGAUUGUGGAGGGAACUGCAGUCUGGAGGCUACUGCAGUGGUCCAGGCAGGAGGCGGGCCUGGGCCAGAACGCUGGCACAGGAGGAGCAGGGGGUGGGCACACUUGAGGAGCAUUUUGUAGAUCAAGAUGGCAACUGCAGUGACUCUGAUUCUAAUUACUGUAGUUAUUUGCUAAUGAUGUGAGAUUCUAGAAUUCCACCGUUGGAAGUGCCUUGAAAAUGGGAGUUUCACAGCCUGAAGCAGUAAAUCUGGCUAAACAUGCUUCAGGAAGAGCGGGACCUCCUAAACUGUAAGAUGCCAAACACUGCCCUGCCCUGGGUGGUAGAAACUGUGUUAGCAGCGGAGGAAACGGCGGCUUCAGCUGGCCCGAGUGACAAAACUGAGUCUGUCUGGUAUCGGCUCCAGCCGUGAGUCACUGGCUAUUUUUACUUCUAAGGCCAGAGCUGCGGCUUAUUCAGGGGCUCCUGUUUCCUGGCUGAUGAAGCAGAUGGAAGAAACACGAUCUGGCCAUCCAGAGGCCUGUGCAAAAUGCAGGAGCCAGCUGGGCGCUGGGGGGAAGCUGAGCUCAGCGGGGCGGGCCUGGACCUCUGUGUUCUCACCUGUCCCGGGCACCGCGUGGCCUCUGCCUCCCUCUUCUGCUUGGUUUCUUGCACUACCUGCUCAGCAGCGUGGGGGAAUUGCACGAUCCGAGUUCUGUUUUGCGAUGCAACGUGGGGUUGUCAAUUGUGCUUAACUACAUGAGAGAAUUGAAACAGAGCUUCGGUGGAGACACCUCCAGACCCCAGCCUUUGAGGGGGCAGUUGGUUGCUCUGGACAUGCACCUUUUCGUGUGUCCUCAGGGCUCAGCUCUGCGACGCUGGAGACGUUGAGACUUCAUGAGUCUCCUUUCUGUCCCGGGAUGUGCCCACAUUAGGCCUUAGCGCUGGUGGAAUGUCCAAUGGAGGUGCUGGCGUGUGAUCUGCAGAGCCCAGAAUGUUCUGUGGAGGGCCUUGAACACGGCCGGCCAGCAGGAUGACAAGGGGGAGACUGAGUGUGCCACCCCCUGCCUGUCUUGGCCAGAGACCCACCCCCAACUCGCUGCUGUGAUGGAUCUGCUGGGCUUCUGUUGGUGGAAAGGGGGCAGAGAACUGGACUGGAGUCCUGGCCCCACCACUGAACAGCUUGUGGCCUUGGGAAAGUUACUGGCCUCUCUGUGCCUUAGUUUCCCUGGGAGAGAUGAGGG